UUUGUCGGUGUGUUCUUUGACUCACGCUUUAGGUGCCAUUGUACAGUGCGUAAGAUCACAGAACUGUGUCCUCUGGAGAUCAUCUGGUCCAACCCCGCUGCCAGGGCAGGGUCAGAUGCGUUAAGUGCACGAUCGCGGCAUUACGAAGCAGCUGUAGAGAGGCUGAAAACCACAGUUCAAGGAAGGUCUAACUAUGGUCAGACUACCUCAGAAGCUGCGAGAAGGAAAUUCUUGAGAAAUACUUACAUUGUCAUCGAGUUU